CACAAUCUCGGCUCACUGCAACCUCCGCCUCCUGGGUUCAAGUGAUUCUCCUGCCUCAGCCUCCCAAGUAGCUGGGAUUACAGGCGUGUAAUCCCACCACGACCACCACGCCCAGCUAAUUUUUGUAUUUUUUUUUUUUUUUUUUUUUGAGACAGAGUCUCGCACUGCCGCCCAGGCUGGAGUGCAGUGGCGCAGUCUUGGUUCACUGCAAGCUCCACUUCCCAGGUUCAUGCCAUUCCCCUGCCUCAACCUCCUGAGUAGCUGGGACUACAGGCGCCCGCCCCAUUCCCGGCUAAUUUUUUGUAUUUUUAGUAGAGACGGGGUUUCACCGUGUUAGCCAGGAUGGCCUUGAUCUCCUGACCUCAUGAUCCACCCGCCUCGGCCUCCCAAAGUGCUGGGAUUACAGAUGUGAGCCACCGCGCCCGGCCUAAUUUUUGUAUUUUUAGUAGAGAUGGGAUUUCACCAUGUUGGCCAGACUGGUCUGGAUCUCCCGAACUCAGGUGAUCCACCCACCUUGGCCUUCCCAAGUGCUGGGAUUACAGGCGUGAGCUACCACACCCAGCUCUAUGGCCAAUUUUCAAGCUACCAAUGUGAUGUCACUAAACCCAGAGGUAGAACGAUGUGUACAGUAGCCACCAUUAUAUUGUAUUUCUGUCACGCAGAAACAAUAGAUGGAAGUUACCUCAGAAGCACAGGUAAUAGUAACAAGCAGUCAUGACAAUUAUCUAAUUGUCAUGUAGUAAGCUGUUUUGUUUGUUUGUAUCUUAUAGAGAUAGGGUGGGUCUUGCUAUGUUGGCCAGGGUGGUCUUGAACUCCUGGCCUCAAGCAAUACUCCCACCUCAGCCUUACAAAGUGCUAGGAUUACAGGCAUGAGCCACUACACCUGGCUGACAUUUAGUACGUUUUGAAUAUUGAUUUUAAAUAUGAUUGAUUUAAUUAAUGUAUAUAAUUUAACUUUUAAUAAUGACUUUGGAAAUCUAACCAGCAGCUCCUGCAUGCAGCCACCUCAGGGCUGGGCACAAUGGGGUCUGAUAGCUUGCCUGGUGGUCCCACAAGCAGCAGACUUGAGCAGCUCCUGGAGCUCACCACGUGCGGCCCACAGUGUGAGCCUGGGCAAGGACAGAGCUGCCUCCCGAGGAGUUCCUGUGCUGCCAGUAGCAGCUGGUGGAGGCGGACUAGGAAGGUCAGGGAGGCUUUCUGGAGGCCCUGGGAGGCCCAGGUUGCAGCCUCACACACAUUGGAUUGUCUGUGGCUUUUGUAGCUUCCAAGCUGGCUGCAGGGAGACCACUCUACUGAACACAUUCUAUGGCUUAAAGUAGUGGUCCCCAACCUUUUUGGCACCAGAGACCAGUUUUGUGGAAGACAAUUUUUCCAUGGACUGGGGUUGAGGGGGGAAUGGUUUCAGGAUGAUUCAAGCACAUUACAUUUAUUGUGCACUUUAUUUCUAUUAUUAUUACAUUGAAAUAUCUAAUGAAAUAAUUAUAAAAGUCACCAUAAUGUAGAAUCAGUGGGAGCCCUAAGCUUGUUGUUUUGCAGCUAGGUGGUCCCAUCUUGGGGUGAUGGGAGACAGUGACAGAUCAUAGGGCAUUAAAUUCUCAUAAGGAGUGCACAACCUAGAUCCCUUAAAUAUGCAGUCCACAAUAGGGUUCACAUUCCUGUGAGAAUCUAAUGCCACUGCUGAUCUGACUGGAGGUGGAGCUCAGGUGAUAAUGCGAGUGAUGGGGAGCGGCUAUAAAUACAGAUGAAGCUUUGCUCACUUGCCCUCUGCUCACCUCCUGCUGUGCAGCCCCGUUCCUAACAGGCCACAGACCAGUACUGGUUCAUGGUCUGGGGGUUUCAGACCCCUAGUUUAGAGCUUUCCUGCCACUUAAAAACACAUGACUUGAAAAAAUGUCUUUUGGAUUCAUGUUUCAUUCACAUUUUCACAAUUAUCAACGUUACAUUUGUCCAUUAGAAAAAAGAUGGACUGCUGCUCCCUCCCCCUCCCCCUCUCCCUCUACCCACGGUCUCCCUCUCCCUCUCUUUCCACGGUCUCCCUCUGAUGCCCAGCCGAAGCUGGACUGUACUGCUGCCAUCUCGGCUCACUGCAACCUCCCUGCCUGAUUCUCCUGCCUCAGCCUGCCGAGUGCCUGCGAUUGCAGGCCCGCGCCGCCAUGCCUGACUGGUUUUCAUAUUUUUUUGGUGGAGACGGGGUUUUGCUGUGUUGGCCGGGCUGGUCUCCAGCUCCUAACUGCGAGUGAUCCACCAGCCUCGGCCUCCCGAGGUGCCGGGAUUGCAGACGGAGUCUCGUUCACUCAGUGCUCAAUGGUGCCCAGGCUGGAGUGCAGUGGCGUGAUCUCGGCUCGCUACAACCCCCACCUCCCAGCCGCCUGCCUUGGCCUCCCAAAGUGCCAAGAUUGCAGCCUCUGCCCGGCUGCCACCCCGUCUGGGAAGUGAGGAGCGCCUCUUCCCGGCCGCCAUCCCAUCUAGGAAGUGAGGAGCAUCUCUGCCCGGCCGCCCAUCAUCUGAGAUGUGGGGAGCGCCUCUGCCCCGCCGCCCCGUCUGGGAUGUGAGGAGCGCCUCUGCCCGGCCGCGACCCCGUCUGGGAGGUGAGGAGCGCCUCUGCCCGGCCGUGACCCCAUCUGGGAGGUGAGGAGCCCCUCCGCCCGGCAGCCGCCCCGUCUGGGAAGUGAGGAGCGUCUCCGCCCGGCAGCCACCCCGUCCGGGAGGGAGGUGGGGGUCAGCCCCCACCCGGCCAAACACCCCGUCUGGGAGGGAGGUGGGGGGGUCAGCCCCCGCCCGGCCAGCCGCCCCGUCCGGGAGGGAGGUGGGGGGCUCCUCUGCCCGGCCAGCCGCCCUGUCCGGGAGGUGGGGGGCGCCUCUGCCCGGCCACCCCUUCUGGGAAGUGAGGAGCCCCUCUGCCCGGCCACCACCCCGUGUGGGAGGUGUACCCAACAGCUCAUUGAGGACGGGCCAUGAUGACGACGGCGGUUUUGUGGAAUAGAAAAGGGGGAAGGGUGGGGAAAAGAUUGAGAAAUCGGAUGGUUGCUCUGUCUGUGUAGAAAGAAGUAGACAUGGGAGACUUUUCAUUUUGUUCUGUACUAAGAAAAAUUCUUCUGCCUUGGGAUCCUGUUGAUCUGUGACCUUACCCCCAACCCUGUGCUCUCUGAAACAUGUACUGUGUCCACUCAGGGUUAAAUGGAUUAAGGGCGGUGCAAGAUGUGCUUUGUUAAACAGAUGCUUGAAGGCAGCAUGCUCGUUAAGAGUCAUCACCACUCCCUAAUCUCAAGUACCCAGGGACACAAACACUGCGGAAGGCCGCAGGGUCCUCUGCCUAGGAAAACCAGAGACCUUUGUUCACUUGUUUAUCUGCUGACCUUCCCUCCACUAUUGUCCUAUGACCCUGCCAAAUCCCCCUCUGCAAGAAACACCCAAGAAUGAUCAAUAAAAAAAAAAGAAAAAAGAUGGACUGCUAAGACUCUUCUAAUUUCAACUCUUAGAAAUUUUCAGAUUUUAAAGAAAGGAAGGUUAAAUCUAAACAAUUUUUUAAAUUUACUUAUUUAUUUUUGAGACAGCAUCUCACUCUGUCGCCCAGUCUGGAGUUCAGUGGUGCCAUCUCACUGCAGCCUCCUUCUCCAGGUGCAAGUGAUUUU
rnacentral:lncRNA from 1 species